rnacentral:misc_RNA from 1 species
AAGUCGUAACAAGGUUUCCGUAGGUGAACCUGCGGAAGGAUCAUUACAGAGUUCAUGCCCCCCGGGGUAGAUCUCCCACCCUUGUGUAUCAUUAUCAAACGUUGCUUUGGCGGGCCGCGGCCUGGCUGCCCGGAUUCAUAUCCGGUGUGCCCGCCAGAGGAUCCCAAACUCUGAAUGUUAGUGUCGUCUGAGUACUAUUAAAUAGUUAAAACUUUCAACAACGGAUCUCUUGGUUCUG